GCUUAAAACCUAGCUCUCAUUACUCACAUGAAAAAUCACUUUGUCUGCCACUUAAUAAAACAUUUUCCACAUUUAGUAAAGGCGAUUAAAAAAUAAAUUGAAGCUAUAACACUAGUACCGCAAGGGAAAGGUGAAAUAAAAAUGAAAUAAAGCCAAUCUCAUAAACUUACCAAAACCCUUAUCCAGUACUGAGCGACUUCAUAAAGUUAUGAAGAACCAUAUGCUAGAACUAGUAACAAGAAGAAGACCUUCUCCAAAAUGUACGUAUAAGCCAAAAUGAACUACUCAUUGGCACUUACCGCUUAUGAACCCAUAGUAGUAACUAGUCAAGAAAAAUCUACUACCAAUAGCGUUAACCUUACACAAGAACAUUUAUGGAAAGAUUAAAAGAAAAGGAAGGAACUCGGCAAAUAAAUAACCCCGCCUGUUUACCAAAAACAUCGCCUCCUGAACCAACCAUAGGAGGUCCAGCCUGCCCAGUGACAAAGUUAAACGGCCGCGGUACCCUAACCGUGCAAAGGUAGCGCAAUCACUUGUUCUUUAAAUGAGGACUAGUAUGAAUGGCAUCACGAGGGUUAUGCUGUCUCCCUGAUCUAAUCAGUGAAACUGAUCUUCCCGUGAAGAAGCGGGAAUAAAAAUAUAAGACGAGAAGACCCCAUGGAGCUUCAAACUCAACAUCAACUGCCCACACUAUACAGCCUAUUAGACACGCAGGCCUGAUUGUUGGUUUUCGGUUGGGGUGACCGCGGAGUAAAACAAAACCUCCACGAUGAACGGGGCUAGCCCCCUAAUCCAAGAGCUACAGCUCUAAGAAUCAACAAACUGACAGAAUUUGAUCCAAUUUUUUGAUCAACGAACCAAGUUACCCUGGGGAUAACAGCGCAAUCCAUUUCAAGAGCUCAUAUCGACAAAUGGGUUUACGACCUCGAUGUUGGAUCAGGGUAUCCCAGUGGCGCAGCCGCU
rnacentral:rRNA from 1 species